rnacentral:lncRNA from 1 species
GGUUCCCAGUGGGAGAGGGGUUGGUGAGAAGGAAUCUGACACAAAAGCAGGAACUCAACGGUGAAUUAGGUAGUCUAACACUUGGGCCACCAGACCUCAGGUAAGCAAAUCACAGACAAGGUUUAGAGCUCCCAUGAUUAUCAGCGGUCCAAACCACACUGCAUAUGCCAUCACCUCCCUAACCAUGACAACUGCUUUGACCCACACAAGCCGCUGCCCUCUUUUCCUGGGAACCUGGCCUGGAUGGCACUCCUAGGCUCAAUUCUCCACCCCCUCCUUCCAGCACACAGCAAAGAGGCGAGACGUGGAACAGAUGUCCUGUGAAUCAGGAGGGCCCACGGGCUGGGAGCAGCUUCCUACUCAAGAUUUAGCCUCUCUUCUGUUUGAAUGCAGCCGGAUCUGUUCCCCUGCAUCACUGAGGGGACUUCUUGGUCUCAGAGGAGGAUUCAGAGUUUCUCAAUCACCUGCCUGGGAAUGGAAGAGAGCUGGGGGACGAGGGCUGAGCUGGGGAUGUGAGCACUGACCUCUCAGCCCUGGCAGCAGUGGUAGCUGCUGUUGCAAUGAGCCUUCGCCAUGACCCGGUCCUGAGGGAGCAUCUGCAGAGCAGUGGUUGUCUUGAAAUAGGCCAUGGGAAAGUCCAAGAGAAGCCACGGCUUUUGAAAACCAUCCCAGAAUCCCACUGGAAUGCUUUGCCAGAGUACACUGAGCUCGAAAGGUCUU